GACGAACGCUGGCGGCGUGCUUAACACAUGCAAGUCGAACGGAAAGGCCCUGCUUUUGUGGGGUGCUCGAGUGGCGAACGGGUGAGUAACACGUGAGUAACCUGCCCUUGACUUUGGGAUAACUUCAGGAAACUGGGGCUAAUACCGGAUAGGAGCUCCUGCUGCAUGGUGGGGGUUGGAAAGUUUCGGCGGUUGGGGAUGGACUCGCGGCUUAUCAGCUUGUUGGUGGGGUAGUGGCUUACCUAGGCUUUGACGGGUAGCCGGCCUGAGAGGGUGACCGGCCACAUUGGGACUGAGAUGCGGCCCAGACUCCUACGGGAGGCAGCAGUGGGGAAUAUUGCACAAUGGGCGGAAGCCUGAUGCAGCAACGCCGCGUGCGGGAUGACGGCCUUCGGGUUGUAAACCGCUUUCGCCUGUGACGAAGCGUGGGUGACGGUAAUGGGUAAAGAAGCACCGGCUAACUACGUG
rnacentral:rRNA from 1 species